rnacentral:lncRNA from 1 species
UUUUUUUUUUUUUUUUUUUUUAACAGGAUCUCACUUUCAUGCAGCCCCUGUUGGCCUGGAACUCUCUAGGCAGGCCUCAGAGAUUUUCAGUAAUCGUCCAGAAACCUCCCCAUGCUGGAUGUGAGGCCUGUGCUCUGUUUGCUUUGGUUUGGUUUGUGCAGUGUUCAGAAUGGAACCCAGUUGUGCUCUGGCUGUGCUCUGCCCCCAGCUACACUGCAGCCCGCGGAUGGUGCUUUGGUAUGGACAGGACUGCGCAGUUCGGAAGUGUGCGUUCUGCUGGUGGUUCCGGUGCAGGGAGGAGGGUGGGUGAGUCUGUGUGAUGGUCGGGUUCCUGGGAUAGCUGCAUGUUCUGUGUGAGUGGCUGGGAUGAGGAAGAUCGGUCUGUGGUUUGACGUGUCCCCUCCACAGUAUCUUUUCCAGUGUGCUGGCUUUGUUUGUGUUUGUGUAUGCACGCUAACUAUGUUCAUGUGCAUCUUGGCAGGUCCUUUGGUUGUAUGUAUGAGUGUGCCGCUGUCACGCUGGCUGUGUCUGUUGCACACUCAUGUGGUGCUGAAUCCGUACAUCCAUAUUCUGCUGUGAGAGUCACUGGAGAUUGGGGGGUGGUUGGGAGCAGCCCUUUGUCCAGCUACAGGAAGGCCCCACCCCCUUCAUCUGCAGGGACUCUGGGAGGGGCCCAGACUGCCAGGCUCCAAACUCCCUCCCAUUGUUCUAGGGCCUCUUUGGAAAACUGGGUGGAAGGCAAAAGGUGGGUCCAGGCCUGGGCCAUCACACUCCCUAGAAUCACCAGGGAAGCAGCCUGGAACCCUUACGGGGAGGCUGGCUAUGGGUCCAUUGUGCAGAUGGAGAAGUUGAGUCUAGAGCAGAAAGGGCUGGUUCCAUGAGUAGUAAGGCCAGAGAGAUCACAGCCUUUACACCCUUCGUGUGACCACUGCCCAGCCUCCUGAUGAAGUUGGGGGUCUAGAUGAGUCAGACCCUAAAAAGUCACAGAACUGUUUUGUUGGCUCCCAUUUCAGAAUACUUCUUGUGGGUUAAACAUUAACCCUAACUCUGGGUUAAGUUCAACGUUUGAAUGUGUCUUGUUUCUCUGUUACUCUUGUUUAUUUAGUGCGCUUGUGGUGGAGCGGAGGACUCUUGCUAUAGCACUCAUGUGGUGGGCCGAGGACGGCUGGGAAGAGUUGCUUCUCUCCUACCAUUUGGGUAGGCCACAAGAAUAGGUCCUCAGGGUGUCAGCUUGGCCCCAGGCACCUUUCCCACUGUGCCAUCACACACGUCCAAAUUCAACUUUUAUCCUCAUGUUGUAAAUGAGGAAACCGAGGACUUAGAGGAACAAUUCACUAGUUAACUAAAAUUAUCUAAAAAUUAUUCAGCUCCAAGUAUUGGGUGGUGUGACUUUGAGCAGAUUGCUAACCUUUUCUGAGCUCACCGAUCCUGCUCCCCAGCCUCCUCAAGGGGGUUGUCCUCCCCAAUCCAAGAUGACCUCAAACCUUAAGCCUCCAGCUGCCUCUACCUGAUUCCUGGGAUUACAGGUUCAGCAUGCCCUGUAAAUCCUACUUGCUUUCCUAGAACUCACAGCCCCACGGGUGGGGGAUGGGAAUAGGAAAUGGAUAACAGAGCACAAGACAACGAUCGCUUUAGAUAGUAAAAGAAAAUAGCCAAGGGUGUCCUGAGGUCUCCAUCGAGGAGGUGACCUUUGACCUGGGACCUCAGGGUGACAAACUAGCAGAGACCUGGUUGGUAAGUGCUCUAGGCUGAGGGCACAUCUAGGGCAAGGGUCUUGAGGCCGGAUGGAGCUGGUUAGAGGAAGUCAAGGGGCUGGAGAGGGAAAUGGGAGGACAGGACGUGGGGUGAAGUGGGGGGGUGAGUAAAGGGGGGUGGAGUUUGGGUUCUGUUCUCAAGGAGAUGGGCACAGAUACAGUGUUUGGCCAGGCCAGAGUCCUGGGGUGGAAUGGGGGAAUGCUCUCUGGUUACAAUCAGAGGUGGGGACAGCCAGAGCCCAAGGUCUUUCCCCAAAGUUCCCUCAGUCCCAGCCCAGAGGCGCCGGCCUGGCUGCUGGAAGACUUCACUGUGGGCACAUAUGGGGAGCAGCUGCGGGGCCAGGGCCAGAGUAGAUCACGUGACACGGACAGGCUCGCCCUGGAGCCUACAGAGCCAAGACUCUGAGAAAAGGCAGUUGAAGAGUAUCUGGAAAUGCGCAUGUCCACAGAGAUAUGCUCUGCAGUGUGGACUUAUAUGUAAGGUCUCCCCACCCCCCACACAGGGAGAGAACACCAUCUCCACACUGUGUGAUCUGAAGCUACUCCUUACACAGAGCAGACAAGAAGUGACUGCUACCUCUGGAGGCUGCUGACUCCUCAUUCAGAGACAGGCCCUGAGAAGCACCCUGAGCUACAGGCUGGGUAGAGGACCUGGAUGCCUGCCUUCAGAGCACAGGCUUAGGCUAGUGCUUAGAAUUCUGAGUGAUACUGAGGGAGGGAGCACUAAGUUACUCUGAGCUAUUGGCAUGACAGACAGGGACAGGAACCAGACUGAAGAAGCUUUCCCUAGCAGGUGUGACUGACUGCACACCUGCAGCCCUCCCUAAAUAGUGCCGUGCCUUCAUUCAGUACAUUUCUCCAUAGAGGACACGGAGGCUUCAUCUUGAUUGUCAACUUGACUGGAUUUAGAAUUACUUAAGAGACACACCUCUGGGCAUGUCCGCCAGAGUCAUUUCAAAAACCUUGAAGGGGGAAGACCCAGGGUCCCAGACUGAAUACAAAGAGGCAAGUAAGAGGUUGAACUAUGCAGCUGCCUUGGCUCUGAGCUUCGUGACUGGAUACAAUGUGUCCAGCCUUCACAUUCACUCUGCGUGGCCUUUCCCACUCUUAACCUGGGGCCACAAGAAACCAGUCCUUCCCUAAAUUGUUUGGUUAGAUACUCACUCUCUCACGGGCCUGGGAAAAGUAACGAAUGCAAUCAACCACCCAGCCAGGAACCUUCAACCCUGUGAGCCACAGUGAUGCACACACCUAUAGUCCCAGCAGAGGCCACUCUGAUAGUCUCAGUGUAGUGCAGUCCCAGCUAUACUCCAAAAGACCAACUUAGAUCACACUUCC